UACGUAGGGGGCGAGCGUUGUCCGGAAUUACUGGGCGUAAAGGGCGCGUAGGCGGCCACCGCAAGUCGACUGUGAAAUCUCCGGGCUUAACCCGGAAAGGUCAGCCGAUACUGCGGGGCUAGAGUGCAGAAGGGGCAACUGGAAUUCUCGGUGUAGCGGUGAAAUGCGUAGAUAUCGAGAGGAACACCUGCGGCGAAGGCGGGUUGCUGGGCUGACACUGACGCUGAGGCGCGAAAGCUAGGGGAGCGAACGGG
rnacentral:rRNA from 1 species